rnacentral:rRNA from 1 species
AUUGAACGCUGGCGGCGUGGUUAAAGCAUGCAAGUCGAACGAACCCGCAAGGGUGAGUGGCGGAAGGGUCAGUAAUGCGAUCGAACGUGCCCCGAGGUGGGGGAUAGCGGUGGGAAACUGCCGGUAAUACCCCAUGAUCUCUCCGGAGCAAAGGUUUACCGCCUUGGGAUCGGCGAUCGUCCUAUCAGCUUGUUGGCGGGUAACGGCCCACCAAGGCUUUGACGGGUAGCAGGUGUGAGAGCACGACCUGCGACAUCGGGACUGAGACACUGCCCGGACUCCUACGGGAGGCUGCAGCGACGAAUCUUCCGCAAUGGGGGCAACCCGACGGAGCGACGCCGCGUGCGGGAUGAAGCGCCUUCGGCGUGUAAACCGCUGUCAGGGGACAGAACCAAUGAUCGUCCCCAAAGGAAGAGACGGCUAACCCUGUGCCAGCAGCCGCUGU